UAAUUUUGUUGGACCCAGUCUUAUGUUAGUUCAUUCUGAUCUUUUGGUCAGGUCUGGAUCCACUGGGCAUGGCUGUCGCCGUUGUCAGUUCUCCUUGUCUUUAGACCUGCUUUCAAGAUACCCGACUAGGAUCUCUCGCUAAUGAGUUCACGUCUGCCCUCCGCCCCCUCUCCAAAAUCUCACUCCGUUGUGCCGUGGUACAACGGGAGACCGGUGGCAUUGAUGACCGCCCAUGGAAGCGAGAGACUGAUGCAAGAGGCAUGAUAUGUUGUGUUCUUUUCCUUUUCGUCAACUGAUAAUGCUUCCGGAUAAUUAUACACUCAACGGGCGCAAAGCAACCCAAAAUAUAUUUCUCUUCUCAUGGGAGGUACAUGGGCAACACUCACUUCGCUGCUGCUCUGCCUCUACAUCCUCUUCGACGUUCAAUAGGAGGAUCAUGUGCUGCUUGUCCGCUUCCACAUUGAGCCAGGAGGUUAAGAAGAUAAGAUAUGUAACAUGUAAUGAGUUAAAAGAAGCCCACUCAGGUUAUUGAUAGGAGAGGAAAAAAUACGCAAACAUCUAUAUUUUCAGUUCAAAUAGAGCCGCAGAAACACUACACAUCAGAUGAUUGUCCAGUUGCGGCUUAAAUCAAGGAAGCUCUAGAUGGCUUCGUUAAUUUUAGAUGCAGAUGUUAGAUUUCUGUAAAGCAAGAGCUUAUAUAAUGGUAGACCCAUGUCACUUGAAUUGAUAUUGGUACAUACAGAUAUAGCUGGCCCAGUUCACUAUUCUUUUGUGGUAUUUCAGGAUGUAACCUUAUUUUGACUUAUAUAGAAUCACUAAUUUCAAACGAGAGCAACAUACAUAAAGGAGCUCAAGAUGUUCUUAUUCACAUGAAGGGUCAGCGAUGUAGGAGCUGGGCCGGUCACCGUCGCCUCCCAAACACCACUCACACCUUGCCACCUCAAUCUCCUGCCCAACCACGAGGAGGUCGUGUCGGAAGAUUUUCGCUACGGCCCUACCUUGCUCAACUAUGUGGAUGCCGCGUGGCCACUUCUUUUUUUGGUACACCCUUGCCCUGCUCUAUGUCUGAUGUAGUGAUGGUUUAAGCUAACUGCAUGCUUCUCUACAAGGGGUGUAUACGGUGAACAUGUCCAGAGUGUUCUUACACUUUUCAUAGUUAACUUCUUUAGCAACAACUUUUUUGUGUAC